UUUAUCAUCAGGUUGGUCUGAUGACGAUGAGGUUAGGAUGCAAAUAUGGCUGUUUAAUCAAAGUGAUGCAUCUUUGAAUUCCUCCUGAAUCAUUUUAGUGUUGUGAUUAUUGUCUGGUUCUUUUUAUCUUACAUUUGAGCUUUCUUCUGCAAACAAUGACAUUUGUGCAUAAACUUAUAGUGUUUUUUUUUUUUUUGGGGUUUGUUAUUGUAUAUACUAUGUGUCAUGUCUAUGUAUUCAUCAUUUAUGGUCAUUUUAAGUAGCGUUUGGUGUAAUGGAAAGUGGUAAUUUUCCUGAGAAUUUAAUCAAUUGAAAAGUGAUUUCAACGUUUAGUAUGUAAAUUUUAUUUACUUUCAAUCUAACUGUACAUUGGGAGCUAUUUUCAUAUGAAUAUGGCAAUGUGAUUCUCAUGAUAAAAAGUGAAAAAAUUAAAAAAAAUAUUAAGACAAAAUUAACC
rnacentral:lncRNA from 1 species